AAAAAAGGAGAUCGGUUAAGACCGCCGCGAUGCGCGGCAACACCGAUCCACCUCGCUUGGCGAG
rnacentral:sRNA from 1 species